AUGGGCAUUUCUCGUUUACUACACUAUACUGCCAGCUCGACAGAGACACAACAGACAUGCGAACUGGCCGGUAUUUACACCUUUCGAGCACAUGGUCAAAUAUAUCACAACAUACACUCAUUUGGUAAUAGUCACUCAGAUCCAAAGCAUCUGGAACUAUAUUUCUACGACGAUGAUCCAAGCUUACAGCAUCGAUACCGUCGUUGCCGUGAGGAAAUGUACGAGCAAGACAAGCAUGUGAUUGCAAUAAUAACAGAUAUCCUACGCGGUAACCCGUACUCUCAACAGUUUAGGAGUUUGGGACAAGCCCAAAACCUUGAGGACUACAGACUGAUCUUGAACCUUGACCAGAGAUUGGACCAAAGAACAUACAACGAGCCAAUCAAUUCGGAGGUAGCUGCAGUGUGGAUUGAAGGAAAUGAAAGAAGAGAUACUUAUGACAGAAAUGUAAUAUUACAUGGGAACAACAACGAAAAAGAGCACAUUCGAUCAUAUUACGAGUGCUAUGAUCCGUUAUCGUAUCCUCUAUUCUUUCCAAGAGCUGAACUGGGUUGGCAUAGGAAAAUCCCGAAGAGGGAAACACGAGAGGAAGAUAUUGGUGCUGAAAAUAUCAGUAAUGACGAUGACCCAGAUUCGGCCAAUGGCCUAUGGGUAACAAUGAAAGAAUACUACUGCUAUAAAUUCCAUACAUGA
rnacentral:rRNA from 1 species